rnacentral:tRNA from 1 species
GGCAAGAUGGCCGAGUGGUUAAGGCGUGACGUUUAGGUUAUAAACCCGUCAUGCGAAAGCGCGUGGGUUCGAAUCCCACUCUUGUCA